GAGAGUUAAAUAGUACGUGAAAUUGUUGAAAGGGAAACGAUUGAAGUCAGUCAUGCUAGUGAAAAAUCAGUUUGACGGGUUUUGAGUUCAGGAGUAGAGGCAGGGUCAAACCGUUUCUUUUUUGAACUUGGGAUUUGUUAGAUGUACUUUUUCUUUGGCAGGUCAGCGUCGAUUUCGGAGGUUGUAAAAUACUUGGGGGAAAGUAACUCUGCUUCGGGAGAGUAUUAUAGACCCUGGGGGAUGCAGCCUGCGGGAUCGAGGAUUGCAGCAAAUGCCUUUGGCUUGUCGCCUAUCUCUGGUUGUUACCUCUCUUGUGACAACAUUCUUGCCACCGGAGGGUACUAAUGCCCAUUACUUAGAGCGAUCGAAAAUUUUGCUAAGGAUGCUGACGUAAUGGCUUUAAACGA
rnacentral:rRNA from 1 species